UACAGAGGUCUCAAGCGUUGUUCGGAUUCAUUGGGCGUAAAGGGUGCGUAGGUGGCGCUGUAAGCCAGGUGUGAAAUUUCGGAGCUUAACUCCGAAACUGCAUUUGAUACUGCGGUGCUUGAGGACUGGAGAGGAGACUGGAAUUUACGGUGUAGCAGUGAAAUGCGUAGAGAUCGUAAGGAAGACCAGUGGCGAAGGCGGGUCUCUGGACAGUUCCUGACACUGAGGCACGAAGGCCAGGGGAGCAAACGGG
rnacentral:rRNA from 1 species